UACGUAGGGUGCGAGCGUUGUCCGGAAUUAUUGGGCGUAAAGAGCUCGUAGGCGGUGUGUCGCGUCGGCCGUGAAAACCUGCAGCUUAACUGUGGGCUUGCGGUCGAUACGGGCAUCACUGGAGUUCGGCAGGGGAGACUGGAAUUCCUGGUGUAGCGGUGAAAUGCGCAGAUAUCAGGAGGAACACCGAUGGCGAAGGCAGCUCGCUGGGACGGUACUGACGCUGGAGGCGCGAAA
rnacentral:rRNA from 1 species